AACAAGGCGUACCUGCGGACCUGCGGAGGGAUCAUUACGAGAGUGUCACCACUCCCAACCCAUUGUUUACCUACCCGUCCACCGUGCUUCGGCAGGCAGCCCUGUGGGACAGAGCCUCGCCCCCUUUCGCGGGGGGUGCCUGCCGCUUGCCAACCAAAACUCUAGCUGUUUUAGUACCAUCUGAGUCUUCCACAAAUGAACAAAACUUUCAGCAACGGAUCUCAGAUCGGAAGAGCACAC
rnacentral:misc_RNA from 1 species